rnacentral:rRNA from 1 species
GACGAACGCUGGCGGCGUGCUUAACACAUGCAAGUCGAACGGAAAGGCGCUGCUUGCAGGGUACUCGAGUGGCGAACGGGUGAGUAACACGUGGGUGAUCUGCCCUGCACUUCGGGAUAAGCCUGGGAAACUGGGACUAAUACCGGCUAGGAGCCAUUUUUAGUGUGAUGGUUGGAAAGUUUUUUCGGUGUAGGAUGAGCUCGCGGGCUAUCAGCUUGUUGGUGGGAUAAUGGCCUACCAAGGCGGCGGCGGGUAGCCGGACUGAGAGGGUGGACGGCCACACUGACUCUGAGGGACGGCACAAAUGCCGACGGGAGGCAACAGGGCGGAAUCUUGCACCAUGGGCGCAAGCCUGAUGCAGCGGCGCCGCGUGUGGGAUGACGGCCUUCUGGUUGAAAACUCGUUUCGCUAGGGACUAAUCUGUUUGUGACGGUACCUAGAUAAGAAGCACCGGCUAACUACGUG